UGAGGAAUAUUGGACAAUGGGCGCAAGCCUGAUCCAGCCAUGCCGCGUGCAGGAAGAAGCACCUCUGGUGUGUAAACUGCUUUUGUACGGGAAGAAACACUCCUUCGUGAAGGAGCUUGACGGUACCGUAAGAAUAAGGAUCGGCUAACUCCGUGCCAGCAGCCGCGGUAAUACGGAGGCUCCAAGCGUUAUCCGGAAUCAUUGGGUUUAAAGGGUCCGUAGGCGGUUUAGUAAGUCAGUGGUGAAAGCCCAUCGCUCAACGAUGGAACGGCCAUUGAUACUGCUAGACUUGAAUUAUUAGGAAGUAACUAGAGUAUGUAGUGUAGCGGUGAGAUGCUUAGAUAUUACAUGGAGUACCAAUUGCGAAGGCAGGUUACUACUGAUGGAUUGACGCUGAUGGACGGAAGAGUGGGGGGCGAACA
rnacentral:rRNA from 1 species